AAGUCGUAACAAGGUUUCCGUAGGUGAACCUGCGGAAGGAUCAUUAACACGUAUCCAACGUUAAACAACCCUGUGAAUGCUCUCGCACACGCUCUAGCAGCAAUCCCUGGUAAAUCAUUGUUGACCAGCUAUUGAGUCAGGGACCUCUGCUUUAAAACGAUGCGAUACGAGCGCCAGAGUAAGUGCGGCCUGGCAUCCUAGCAAUCUGUCAGUGGUUGCGCAAGGAUGGCGCAGUAAACGAUCGCUGUAGGCCCACACGGCCGGCGACCGGGCCUCUGUGCUUCGGCACCUAACGACCCCAUGUUUCGUACCCGGUGCGCUGUAACAACCGCACCACAAACUCGAACAACUGUUAACAAUGGAUAUCUUGGUUCUC
rnacentral:misc_RNA from 1 species